GCUUGAUGAGCUUCUUGGCAUCGUCGUACUGCGCCGGUGGACUAAUAUGGAACAAUUGCUUUUACCAUGCUUGCAUCAUCGGAUCUCUCUUGCGAAACACAGUUAUUACGGAAAUUCAGUGGCGCGCUUACAAGCUGUCACCCGAUUCUGUGCUGUGUUUCUGCAGAAAUUUCUUUGCGCGUCGAAUGUCGUGCUUCACGCUGGGAACAUCGUCGGGAGGUGCCUCUUC